rnacentral:rRNA from 1 species
UACGAAGGGGGCUAGCGUUGCUCGGAAUGACUGGGCGUAAAGGGCGCGUAGGCGGCGCAGUUAGUCAGGCGUGAAAUUCCUGGGCUCAACCUGGGGACUGCGCUUGAUACGGCUGUGCUUGAGGAUGGAAGAGGCUCGCGGAAUUCCCAGUGUAGAGGUGAAAUUCGUAGAUAUUGGGAAGAACACCGGUGGCGAAGGCGGCGAGCUGGUCCAUUACUGACGCUGAGGCGCGACAGCGUGGGGGAGCAACACGAUGAUAACCGAACCGUAGUCA